rnacentral:rRNA from 1 species
AAUACGUUCCCGGGUCUUGUACACACCGCCCGUCAAGCCACCUGAAUUAGUGGUACCCUAAGUCGUUACCCCAACCGCAAGGAGGGAGACGCCUAAGGUAAAACUAGUGAGGAGGGCU